UACAGAGGGGGCGAGCGUUGUUCGGAAUUACUGGGCGUAAAGGGCGCGUAGGCGGCCCGCUAAGUCGAACGUGAAAUCCCCAGGCUCAACCUGGGAACUGCGUCCGAUACUGGCAGGCUUGAAUCCGGGAGAGGGAUGUGGAAUUCCAGGUGUAGCGGUGAAAUGCGUAGAUAUCUGGAGGAACACCGGUGGCGAAGGCGGCAUCCUGGACCGGUAUUGGCGCUGAGGCGCGAAAGCUAGGGGAGCAAACGGG
rnacentral:rRNA from 1 species